CAGCAGCCGCGGUAAUACGUAGGGUGCAAGCGUUAAUCGGAAUUACUGGGCGUAAAGCGUGCGCAGGCGGUUAUAUAAGACAGAUGUGAAAUCCCCGGGCUCAACCUGGGAACUGCAUUUGUGACUGUAUAGCUAGAGUACGGCAGAGGGGGAUGGAAUUCCGCGUGUAGCAGUGAAAUGCGUAGAUAUGCGGAGGAACACCAAUGGCGAAGGCAAUCCCCUGGGCCUGUACUGACGCUCAUGCACGAAAGCGUGGGGAGCAAACAGGAUUAGAUACCCCCGUAGUCCCUGUCUCUUAUAC
rnacentral:rRNA from 1 species